rnacentral:rRNA from 1 species
GACGAACGCUGGCGGCGUGCUUAACACAUGCAAGUCGAACGGAAAGGCCCUGCUUUUGUGGGGUGCUCGAGUGGCGAACGGGUGAGUAACACGUGAGUAACCUGCCCUUGACUUUGGGAUAACUUCAGGAAACUGGGGCUAAUACCGGAUAGGAGCUCCUGCUGCAUGGUGGGGGUUGGAAAGUUUCGGCGGUUGGGGAUGGACUCGCGGCUUAUCAGCUUGUUGGUGGGGUAGUGGCUUACCAAGGGUUUGACGGGUAGCCGGCCUGAGAGGGUGACCGGCCACAUUGGGACUACGAUACGGACCAGACUCCUACGGGAGGCAGCAGUGGGAAAUAUUGCACAAUGGCCGGAAGCCUGAUGCAGCAACGCCGCGUGCGGGAUACCGGCCUUCGGGUUGUAAACCGCUUUCGCCUGUGACGAAGCGUGAGUGACGGUAAUGGGUAAAGAAGCACCGGCUAACUACGUG